GCGGUAAUACGGAGGGUGCAAGCGUUAAUCGGAAUUACUGGGCGUAAAGCGCACGCAGGCGGUCUGUCAAGUCGGAUGUGAAAUCCCCGGGCUCAACCUGGGAACUGCAUUCGAAACUGGCAGGCUAGAGUCUUGUAGAGGGGGGUAGAAUUCCCAGGUGUAGCGGUGAAAUGCGUAGAGAUCUGGAGGAAUACCGGUGGCGAAGGCGGCCCCCUGGACAAAGACUGACGCUCAGGUGCGAAAGCGUGGGGAGCAAACAGGAUUAGAUACCCUGGUAGUCCACGCUGUAAACGAUGUCGAUUUGGAGGUUGUGCCCUUGAGGCGUGGCUUCCGGAGCUAACGCGUUAAAUCGACCGCCUGGGGAGUACGGCCGCAAGGUUAAAACUCAAAUGAAUUGACGGGGGCCCGCACAAGCGGUGGAGCAUGUGGUUUAAUUCGAUGCAACGCGAAGAACCUUACCUGGUCUUGACAUCCACAGAACUUUCCAGAGAUGGAUUGGUGCCUUCGGGAACUGUGAGACAGGUGCUGCAUGGCUGUCGUCAGCUCGUGUUGUGAAAUGUUGGGUUAAGUCCCGCAACGAGCGCAACCCUUAUCCUUUGUUGCCAGCGGUUCGGCCGGGAACUCAAAGGAGACUGCCAGUGAUAAACUGGAGGAAGGUGGGGAUGACGUCAAGUCAUCAUGGCCCUUACGACCAGGGCUACACACGUGCUACAAUGGCAUAUACAAAGAGAAGCGACCUCGCGAGAGCAAGCGGACCUCAUAAAGUAUGUCGUAGUCCGGAUUGGAGUCUGCAACUCGACUCCAUGAAGUCGGAAUCGCUAGUAAUCGUAGAUCAGAAUGCUACGGUGAAUACGUUCCCGGGCCUUGUACACACCGCCCGUCACACCAUGGGAGUGGGUUGCAAAAGAAGUAGGUAGCUUAACCUUCGGGAGGGCGCUUACCACUUUGUGAUUCAUGACUGGG
rnacentral:rRNA from 1 species